rnacentral:rRNA from 2 species
CGUCCUAUUAGCUAGUUGGUGAGGUAAUGGCUCACCAAGGCUACGAUGGGUAGGGGUUCUUAGUGGAAGGUCCCCCACACUGGCACUGAGAUACGGGCCAGACUCCUACGGGAGGCAGCAGUAGGGAAUAUUGGUCAAUGGGCGCAAGCCUGAACCAGCCAUGCCGCGUGCAGGGUGAAGGCUCUCUGAGUUGUAAACUGCUUUUGUACAGGAGCAAAAAAAUCCCUGCGGGGGUUCUUGAGAGUACUGUAAGAAUAAGCACCGGCUAAUUCCGUGCCAGCAGCCGCGGUAAUACGGGAGGUGCAAGCGUUAUCCGGUUUUAUUGGGUUUAAAGGGUGCGUAGGCGGCUUAUUAAGUCAGUUGUGAAAUCCUAGUGCUUAACGCUAGAACUGCGAUUGAUACUAUU